UACGAAGGGGGCUAGCGUUGCUCGGAAUGACUGGGCGUAAAGGGCGCGUAGGCGGCUUGCAUAGUCGGAUGUGAAAUUCCUGGGCUUAACCUGGGGGCUGCAUUCGAUACGUGCGGGCUGGAGUGCGGAAGAGGGUCGUGGAAUUCCCAGUGUAGAGGUGAAAUUCGUAGAUAUUGGGAAGAACACCGGUGGCGAAGGCGGCGACCUGGUCCGUGACUGACGCUGAGGCGCGAAAGCGUGGGGAGCAAACAGG
rnacentral:rRNA from 1 species